GUGCUCGCUUCGGCAGCACAUAUACUAAAAUUGGAACGAUACAGAGAUUAGCAUGGCCCCUCCUCAAGGAUGACACGCAAAUUCGUGAAGUGUUCCAUAUAUUU
rnacentral:snRNA from 1 species